AUCGAACGCUGGCGGCAUGCCUUACACAUGCAAGUCGAACGGCAGCGGGGACUUCGGUCCGCCGGCGAGUGGCGAACGGGUGAGUAAUGUAUCGGAACGUACCAUUGAGUGGGGGAUAACUAUCCGAAAGGAUAGCUAAUACCGCAUAUUCUCUCCGGAGGAAAGCAGGGACCGCAAGGCCUUGCGCUCACUGAGCGGCCGAUAUCAGAUUAGCUAGUUGGUGGGGUAAAAGCUCACCAAGGCGACGAUCUGUAGCGGGUCUGAGAGGAUGAUCCGCCAAACUGGAACUGAGACACGGACCAGACUCCUACGGGAGGCAGCAGGGGGGAAUGUUGGACAAAGGGGGCAACCCUGAUCCAGCCAUGCCGCGUGAGUGAAGAAGGCCUUCGGGUUGUAAAGCUCUUUCGGCCGGGAAAAAAUCGCAUGGGCUAAUAUCCUGUGUGGAUGAUGGUACCGGAAUAAGAAGCACCGGCUAACUACGUGCCAGCCGCCGCGGUAACAC
rnacentral:rRNA from 1 species